CACUUAUUAAUAUUAACACACACACAUAUCGACACAUACACUUGGGUGCAUGCAGUUAUAAAAACUUCGUGUUGGUGCUAUGGGAUAUGUGGAGGCCUAAC
rnacentral:sRNA from 2 species